CAGCACUCACAAGCCACCCUGGCCGCUUCUGUCACUGCCCUCAAGUAACCUCUGUCCUGACUUCUAACAUGACAGACUGAGGCUGGUUUGCUCGCUGGCUGCUGAGACGGUGACAGGAGCAUGGCGUAGCAGGCAGUGGGUGGAGUGGGUUGAGUCGGCAAACCUGGGUUCAAAAUGUGCCUCAGUGCUGGCUGGUCAUGUGACUGUGGCAGUUACACAGCCUCCAGGAGCCUCAGUCCCUCUUUUAUGCAGCAAGACCACGCUGGACCUGCCAGGUUGCUGUGAAAAACAUUAGUAACAUGCACCAGGCCCAGCCCAGGGCUUGGCAUGUGAGGAGUGGCACUGAGCAUCACUGUCAUUGGUGUUAUUUCCAUUUUUGCACUUGUGGUGAGAUGGCAGGUGGCCUGUGGCCCUGGCAGGCCUUGUGUAGCUGUGGCGAGAGCUGUGGACAGCCAGAGCCUUCGAGACAGCUGACAACUGCUUUAUGGCAUCCCAGAGAAAUCAUCCUGCACCUGACUGUCAAUUAGCUCAAAAGGCAACCUGAGGGAUCGGCCCCUUGGCCAAGUGGCCACGAGGCCAGGCCCCCAUUUCAGUUCUUAAUGUCACAAAAUUACAUCUUUAGGCACUGAGAGUCCAAAAACAGAUACUAAGAAUUGGGGUUUUUAAUAUUUUAGUCUUUUAAAUGUAGAAAACAAAACAUGGAGCUACAAACCAAGUUACAACAGUACCAGCUUUUAUAAUCAUCCACAUACUUACUUUGACCAGAGGCCUUUAUUUCUGCUUAAGUCGUUGAGUUCCUGUCCAGUAUCCUUUCCUUUCAGCCUGAAGGACUCCCCUUGCUGGAGGCAGGUCUGGAGUACAGCACUCUCUCAGCCGUGGGUUCUAUGGGAAUGUCUUAAUUCCUCCCUCAUGUUUUAAGGACAGUUCUGCCAGAUAUAGGAUUCUUGGUUGGAUUCUUUUUUCCUUCUGCACUUUGAGUACAUCAGCCCAUGCCCUCUGGCCUCCAAGGUUUCUGGUGAGAAAUCAGCUCCUGAUCUUACUGGGGAAAAUAUGAUGAAAGCUCUCUUCCUCUCAGCUUUAUGAAUGUUAAUGCUGUCCCUUCUCAUGUCUUAUGCAACAGAACGUCUUCCUAUAGGAAUAUCCUUUAAGUUGUAGGAUCACUUUGAGACUAAUGAGAGUUUAAAGAAAAGGAGUUGAGUAUUUUAAGUGUAGAUAUUUUGACGUCUUUAACAGCCAAAAAUUAUGAGAUUUUAAAAUUAGAAAUGAAAAGGCCACUGAAGCAUCUUACAGAUUUUAAUUUCUAAUAAAGUAAAUAUCACUAAUAUCCCAAAUAAAACAAAAAUCUCUUUGGGGUCCCUUUGUUUCAG
rnacentral:lncRNA from 1 species